rnacentral:rRNA from 1 species
GACGAACGCUGGCGGCGUGCUUAACCCAUGCAAGUCGAACGGUGAAGCGCCUUCCUUUUUGGUGGGUGUGGAUGAGUGGCGAACGGGUGAGUAACACGUGAGUAACCUGCCCCCUUCUUCUGGAUAACCGCAUGAAAGUGUGGCUAAUACGGGAUAUUCUGGGUCUGUCGCAUGAUGGGUCUGGGAAAGAUAUUGUUUCGGUGGGGGAUGGGCUCGCGGCCUAUCAGCUUGUUGGUGGGGUGAUGGCCUACCAAGGCGGUGACGGGUAGCCGGCCUGAGAGGGUGGACGGUCACACUGGGACUGAGACACGGCCCAGACUCCUACGGGAGGCAGCAGUGGGGAAUAUUGCACAAUGGGCGCAAGCCUGAUGCAGCGACGCCGCGUGAGGGAUGGAGGCCUUCGGGUUGUGAACCUCUUUCGCCAGUGAAGCAGGCCUGCCUCGUUUGUGGGUGGGUUGACGGUAGCUGGAUAAGAAGCGCCGGCUAACUACGUG